GCUUUACAUGUAAAUAAGAAAUAACCUGAAUUUGUGCAUUUUAAUGUUUCAAAAACAGAAGCCUUCCAAAGACAUAAUAAUACAUGAUU